AUAGCAAAAGAAACUACCAUCAGAGUGAACAGGAAACCUACAGAAUGGGAGAAAAUUUUUACAAUCUACCCAUCUGACAAAGGGCUAAUAUCCAGAAUCUACAAAGAACUUAAACAAGUUUACAAGAAAAAAUCAAACAACCCCAUCAAAAAGUGGGCAAAGGAUAUGAACAGACACUUCUCAAGAGAAGACAUUUAUGUAGCCAACAGACACACGAAAAAAUGCUCAUCAUCACUGACCAUCAGAGAAAUGCAAAUCAAAACCACGAUGAGAUAUCAUCUCACACCAGUUAGAAUGGCAAUCAUUCAAAAGUCAGGAAACAAGAGGUGCUGGAGAGGACGUGGAGAAAUAGGCACACUACACUGUUGGUGGGACUGCAAACUAGUUCAACCAUUGGGGAAGACAGUGUGGCGAUUCCUCAAGGAUCUAGAACAAGAAAUACCAUUUGACCCAGCCAUCCCAUUACUGGGUAUAUACCCAAAGGAUUAUAAACCAUGCUGCUAUAGAGACAUAUGCACACGUAUGUUUAUUGUGGCACUAUUCACAACAGCAAAGACUUGGAAUCAACCCAAAUGUCCAUCAGUGACAGACUGGAUUAAGAAAAUGUGGCACAUAUACACCAUGGAAUACUAUGCAGCCAUAAAAAAGGAUGAGUUCAUGUCCUUUGUAGGGACAUGGAUGCAGCUGGAAAUCAUCAUUCUCAGCAAACUAUCGCAAUAACAGAAACACAAACACCGCAUGUUCUCACUUAUACGUGGGAAUUGAACAAUGAGAACACUUGGACACAUGAAGGGGAACAUCACACACCAGGGCCUGUCAUGGGGUGGGGGGAGGCGGGAGGGAUAGCAUUAGGAGACAUACCUAAUGUAAAUGACGAGUUAAUGGGUGCAGCACACCAAGAUGGCACAUGUAUACAUGUGUAACAAACCUGCACUUUGUGCACAUGUACCCUAGAAUUUAAAGUAAAA